rnacentral:rRNA from 1 species
GGUUGAUCCUGCCAGUAGUCAUAUGCUUGUCUCAAAGAUUAAGCCAUGCAUGUCUAAGUAUAAACUGCUUUAUACUGUGAAACUGCGAAUGGCUCAUUAAAUCAGUUAUAGUUUAUUUGAUGGAUACCUUGCUACACGGAUAACCGUAGUAAUUCUAGAGCUAAUACGUGCGCACAUCCCGACUCCUGGAAGGGACGUAUUUAUUAGAUAAAAGGCCGACCGGGGCAACCCGACAAGCGGUGAAUCAUGAUAACUCGACGAAUCGCACGGCCUCGCGCCGGCGAUGGUUCAUU